CAGUCGCCGCGGUAAUACAGAGGGUGCGAGCGCUAAUCGGAUUUACUGGGCGUAAAGCGUGCGUAGGCGGCUUCUUAAGUCGGAUGUGAAAUCCCUGAGCUUAACUUAGGAAUUGCAUUCGAUACUGGGAAGCUAGAGUAUGGGAGAGGAUGGUAGAAUUCCAGGUGUAGCGGUGAAAUGCGUAGAGAUCUGGAGGAAUACCGAUGGCGAAGGCAGCCAUCUGGCCUAAUACUGACGCUGAGGUACGAAAGCAUGGGGAGCAAACAGGAUUAGAUACCCCUGUAGUCCCUGUCUCUUAUAC
rnacentral:rRNA from 1 species